AUCAGAUUUUGAUAAGAAGUCAGGGCUGAUCAUUUCAUUCUGGUUUCAUAGCUGAAAGGCUGCCUUAUGAAGCAGGAUCUCUGUGAUACAAUCAUCCUGGUUUCUGCAGAGUUUAAAAGGUUUGCAAGGAAGAAAUGAAGAGGGAAGGAUAAGGCAUAAGCAUGAGACUUUCUAAUUAAGGCCAUUACCACUACUCAUAAAGCCACCAUCAUCAGGAUCAGAAGACUAGAAUGCAACUGGAUCUAGGUAAAAUUCAUUCAGCUGGAAACUUACACAGAGGCAGC